AUACGUAGGGGGCGAGCGUUGUCCGGAAUGAUUGGGCGUAAAGGGCGCGUAGGCGGCGCGGUAAGUCUGGAGUGAAAGUCCUGUUUUUAAGAUGGGAAUUGCUUUGGAUACUGUCGGGCUUGAGUGCAGGAGAGGUAAGUGGAAUUCCCAGUGUAGCGGUGAAAUGCGUAGAGAUUGGGAGGAACACCAGUGGCGAAGGCGACUUACUGGACUGUAACUGACGCUGAGGCGCGAAAGUGUGGGGAGCAAACAGGGUUAGAUACCCUGGUAGUCCACACUGUAAACGAUGAAUGCUAGGUGUAGGGGGUAUCGACCCCUUCUGUGCCGCAGUCAACACAAUAAGCAUUCCGCCUGGGGAGUACGGCCGCAAGGUUGAAACUCAAAUGAAUUGACGGGG
rnacentral:rRNA from 1 species